AAUGUCUUGACUCUCUUGAGUGCUGGAAAGUAUAACAAGAAUAAGGUUUAUUCGGCUAACGUUAGCAAACAGUCACUGUGUUUACAUGGACGAAGCGCUCAUAUCAUGCAUCUAACGGCUAAAUUCGCACGCUCUACAUGCACAGACAUCAUCCAAAGCGUGUCUGUCAAUAGAAAAAGGAUAACGACGCUGAAGGAGCGUUUCCAAGACGACGGCGUGCUGCCGCGCGAGAGGAAGGAUUUGACGUAACCAGCAGGUGCAAGCGCGCGAAAAGCGCACAGCUCCCCCAGCCACACGGAUGUCUCCCCACAACGCGCCAAGCGAAGCGUCCAAAUGGAGAGGAAAUGUCAGCAGUGUUUACAGAGUACAAUCCCUUUAUUAGCUGCUGAUAAAACAUGCACUAUAACAUCCACUAUAUUAUGCGUUCAUGGUUAAAAAAAAAUAUAUAUAUAUAUAUUUGAUUUGAACCCACCUAUAUAAAAGUGUGCCUACUCCUAAAAGUUUAACUUAAAAUGUACAAACUCUCUUUUUCUGGGAAAAUAGGUCAAACAUAUUGUCCCUCUCACUAGGAAGUAGCCAUUUAAGUAAAUUAUAAUUCAUGGCUGACACAACUACAAACUAAUGGAAAAAAAAAAAAAUAAAAAAAAAUAAUAUGUUCCACCCAAACGCCCUGAUUCAAUGGGAAAUAAGGCAAAGGAUGACAGACAACUAUACAUGUGUCCUAAAAUUGUAAAGAUGUGGAUUAGCGUUAUAGUAGUACACGUGACCGCAGUCCGAGAACGAGUCUGUCUCGAGUCUCAGCCCAAGACAAUGGAAUUGGGAGCAUUUGGACUUGGUCUUGACUCAUACUCAAUCUAUUCAGGUCUCUGCCUGGUGUUGACUAAAACACUGAUGUGGAUGCUAUUUGCAGGGUCAUUCCAGACUAAACUGAGCAACUGAAGUGUUAAUGAUCAUGUGAUAUUGGGUGGCAUGUUCUCACAAUUUCAUUUCUGAAACAUUUUUCUUCAGCAAUCAUGUUUGUUUCUUACCAAGCACCACACAAACAGCCAGUACACAAGUUAAAUAAAUAUUUAAAAAACAGA